rnacentral:sRNA from 1 species
AUAACAUAUUAGAAAAACUUAUUACUAUGUAGCGUAAAGCAUAAAUGAAUGAUAAGUUAAUUUUUGUAAGUUGUAUUAUUAGGCAUCUAGGUUCAAAUUUUUAACGAUUU